UUGGCGAGGUAAUGACUCACCAAGGCUAAGACGGGUAGCUGGUCUAAGAGGAUGGUCAGCCACACUGGGACUGAGACACGGCCCAGAGUCCUACGGGAUGCAGCAGUCAGGAAUAUUGCGCAAUGGAGGAAACUCUGACGCAGCGACGCCGCGUGGGUGAUGAAGGCCUUCGGGUCGUAAAGCCCUGUCGGAAGGGAAGAAAAGCUUGCUGGCUAAUAUCCAGCGAGCCUUUGACGGUACCUUCAAAGGAAGCACCGGCUAACUCCGUGCCAGCAGCCGCGGUAAGACGGAGGGUGCAAGCGUUGUUCGGAUUGACUGGGCGUAAAGGGCGUGUAGGCGGUUCGUUAAGUCGGGUGUGAAAGCCCGGGGCUCAGCUCCGGAAGUGCGCCCGAAACUGGCGAGCUGGAGCGCGGUAGAGGAGGGUGGAAUUCCUGGUGUA
rnacentral:rRNA from 1 species